UGCAGCCGAGCGGUAUAGAGUAGAUUGCUACUCUAGAGAGCGGCGUACGGGUGCGGAACACGUGUGCAACCUGCCUUUAUCAGGGGGAUAGCCUUUCGAAAGGAAGAUUAAUACCCCAUAAUAUUUAGAAUGGCAUCAUUUUAAAUUGAAAACUCCGGUGGAUAGAGAUGGGCACGCGCAAGAUUAGAUAGUUGGUGAGGUAACGGCUCACCAAGUCAGUGAUCUUUAGGGGGCCUGAGAGGGUGAUCCCCCACACUGGUACUGAGACACGGACCAGACUCCUACGGGAGGCAGCAGUGAGGAAUAUUGGACAAUGGGUGAGAGCCUGAUCCAGCCAUCCCGCGUGAAGGAUGACGGCCCUAUGGGUUGUAAACUUCUUUUGUAUAGGGAUAAACCUUUCCACGUGUGGAAAGCUGAAGGUACUAUACGAAUAAGCACCGGCUAACUCCGUGCCAGCAGCCGCGGUAAUACGGAGGGUGCAAGCGUUAUCCGGAUUUAUUGGGUUUAAAGGGUCCGUAGGCGGAUGUGUAAGUCAGUGGUGAAAUCUCAUAGCUCAACUAUGAAACUGCCAUUGAUACUGCAUGUCUUGAGUGAGGUAGAAGUAGCUGGAAUAAGUAGUGUAGCGGUGAAAUGCAUAGAUAUUACUUAGAACACCAAUUGCGAAGGCAGGUUACUAUGUCUUAACUGACGCUGAUGGACGAAAGCGUGGGGAGCGAACAGGAUUAGAUACCCUGGUAGUCCACGCUGUAAACGAUGCUAACUCGUUUUUGGGUUUUCGGAUUCAGAGACUAAGCGAAAGUGAUAAGUUAGCCACCUGGGGAGUACGAACGCAAGUUUGAAACUCAAAGGAAUUGACGGGGGCCCGCACAAGCGGUGGAUUAUGUGGUUUAAUUCGAUGAUACGCGAGGAACCUUACCAAGGCUUAAAUGGGAAUUGACAGACGCAGAAAUGUGUUUUUCUUCGGACAAUUUUCAAGUGCUGCAUGGUUGUCGUCAGCUCGUGCCGUGAGUGUUAGGUUAAGUCCUGCACGAGCGCAACCCCUGUCACUAGUUG
rnacentral:rRNA from 1 species